UACGGGGGGAGCAAGCGUUGUUCGGAUUUACUGGGCGUAAAGGGCGCGUAGGCGGCCAGCACAAGUCAGUUGUGAAAUCUCCGAGCUUAACUCGGAAAGGUCAACUGAUACUGUGCGGCUAGAGUGCGGAAGGGGCAACUGGAAUUCUUGGUGUAGCGGUGAAAUGCGUAGAUAUCAAGAGGAACACCUGCGGCGAAGGCGGGUUGCUGGGCCGAUACUGACGCUGAGGAGCGAAAGCGUGGGGAGCGAACAGG
rnacentral:rRNA from 1 species